rnacentral:misc_RNA from 1 species
AGAAAACCGCCCAUGAAAUCCUCACCUUCUCCUUAUUAACAAGUCCCCUGUGAAGAAUACUCUUGUAUUUGCCAUUGCUUAAGAUCUCAAUAGUGUCACCAAUGUGCAUGAUGAUAGAAUUUGGGACGCAUUUGGCUGUCACCCACUUGCCUUGAUAGAAGAGUUGCAGACCUGGAACCAUGUUGUGAAGGAUGAAAGUGAGGGCACUUAUAUCGGUGUGAGCUUCAACUCCUAGGGCAAGAUCUGGUUGAGGGCACUUGGGGUAGUAGUUGAUCUUCAUUUGGAGUAGCAGCUCUUCAAGUCCACCAACCUCUUUUUCUAGUCUGCCUUCUUCCAGUCCCAACCCAAUUGAUAGUACUGACAAAAUUUUGGUCGCUAGGCCUCUCAGUUGCCUUGCAUACUCACUGGUCACCUCAAUGUAGUCGUUGGG